GGGUCAUCCACCACUAGAUUUGCAAUUACAAUCACCGCAGAAAUGCAAGAACUGGCCACCUCUCCAGCUUGUUUUCGUCUCUUAAUUUGUUUAUCUCACAUGUUAACAGCCCAACUACAUGAUUUGGCAUAUCCAAAUCCGUUAAAGGUAGAAGAAGAACCCUUGCAACUUCUUGAUUAUCAACGAUGGCCAACAAGAAUUCCAC
rnacentral:misc_RNA from 1 species